AUGCAGUCUGCCCUAGCCAUGCUAACAUUACAAAGCCACCACACUCAGAUGGGAGAAGGGAAUUUUUUUUUUUUUUUUUACUUCCUUGACUGUGUAUAUCAGGCAUCCCCAAUCUCCAGGCUUCAGACCAAUACCUCCUAUCAGAUCAGCGGUGGCGUUAGAUUAGAAAUAAAGUGUUCAAUAAAUGUGAUGAGCUUGAGUCAUCCCGAAACCAUCCCUUGCCCCCUGGUUUGUGAAAACAUUGUCUUCCAUGAAAUGUCCCUGGUGCCAAAAAAGGCUGAGGACCGCCAGUGUACGUGUCCUAUUUCUUAGGGUAGAUCAGGGCUUCUCAGCCUCCACUCAUGAGAUGUUUGGGCGAGAUGAUUCUUUGGUGUGAGCAGAGCUGUCCAGUGCACUAUAGGAUGUCUGGCAGCAUCCUUGGCUUCUUCUUACCAGGUGCUAGUAACCACCUCUCCUUCUCAGUUGUGACGACUAAAAAUAUCCCCAGACGUUGGUAAGUGUCCCUGGGAGGAGUUGGGAGGAGGCAAAUUCGCCCAUGUUGAGAAUCACUCAUCUGCUGCUUGAGGAGAAGAGCCAUAGUUCUUUGUCCUGGAAACCAAAGCAGUGUUUACACACACAGUGUGCUCGGUGACUGCUUGAAUCCUCCCGUAAGUCCAUAAACAAGUAUUGGCCCAUCAAGUGACAUACAUACAUUGAAAAGGAGAUGCACUGCUCCUUAAACAUUCUCACUUCAGAGCACUGCUUUUUUAAAAAAAUUAUUAUUCAUUUUUCACUGUGCUGAGUUUUCCUUGCUGCUCGAGGGCUUUUCUCUAGUUGUGACAAGAGGGGACUCUCUAGGUGCUGUGCGUGGGCUUCCCAUUGCCGUGGCUUCUCUUAUUGCAGAGCACAUGCUCUAGGGUGAGAGGGCUUCAGUAGUUGUGGUGUGUGGGCUCAGUGGUUGUAGCCCCUGGGACCUAGAGCACAGACUCAAUAGUUGUGCACACGGGCUUAGUUGCUCCAUAGCACGUGGGGUCUUCCUUGAUCAGGGAUCAAACCCUUGUCUCCUGCAGUGGCAGGCGGAUUCUUUACCACUGAGCCACCAGGAAAGCCCCUGAGCACUGCUUUUCUUGGUCUAAAUACACUCCCAUGUGAUCUUCACUGCUGUGGUUUCAUGACAAUUCUCUUGACCUCCAUGUCUUUUCCUCCAGCCCAGACCACUGCCUUGCCUGCUAAAUGUCUGUUUUUGAAUUUCUCAUUGGUAUCUCAAAGCAACAUUCCUAAGCUGAACUCUCCCAGUCCUUUCAUACAGGCUUGUCCUGAAAUCUUUGUCUUAGUUGGGAGAAGGGAAUGGUUUAAAAAAAAAUUUUUUUUACAGUCCAUCUAUAUUGGGCAGACACAGAAAUGUAGGAGUGAGCCAUGACAUGUCCUAAACACAAAGUUUAGCAUGCGCCUGUCCUAUCUAUGCUUCCCAGGUGGCGCUGGUAUAAAGAACCCACCUGCCAAUGCAGGNNNNNNNNNNNNNNNNNNNNNNNNNNNNNNNNNNNNNNNNNNNNNNNNNNNNNNNNNNNNNNNNNNNNNNNNNNNNNNNNNNNNNNNNNNNNNNNNNNNNNNNNNNGCCUGGCGGGCUACAGUCCACAGGGUCACAAAGAGUCGGACACGACUGAGCGUGCACGCACGCCCUUUCUAUGGCUUCCAUCACCUAACUCCCACUGGCUUCAGUCCUUGCUCUGCCCGAAACACAGGGAUCCAGUAAUUGCCUGAUGUCCUGGGCACCGCCCACACUCUUUGAAACCCUGGCUUUGUAUGUUGUAUUCUGUCUGCCUGGGAACACUCUCUCCCUAUUAUUCAUCAGGGUAACAGCUUCUUCUUCAAAACUCAACUCAGUACUCAUCUUGUUCUUCCUACAUCACUGUACCUCCAGCUAAGUCAAAAUCCCUCCAUAUUCUCCCAUGACAUCCCGUAUAUAUGAGAAUGAUUGCCCUUUGCAGGUUAUAUCACAUAACACUUCCUUCUUUCCCUCUGGACUGAGAACUCCUCGAACUCAGAAACUCUGUCUCAAUGUUUGUACCUCUUUCCAGCACUGAGCCUGAAACAUAGUAUUGGCUUGGCCAAAAAGUUUGUUUGGAUUUUUCUGUGGGCUGUUAUGGAAAAAGCCAAAUGAACUUCUUGGCCAACACAAUAGAUACUCACUGAAUGG
rnacentral:lncRNA from 1 species